UUAAAAAGCUCGUAGUUGAAUUUCGGGGUUAGUAGGUUGGUCAUGCCUCUGGUAUGUACUGGUCUCACUGAUUCCUCCUUCCUGAUGAACCGUAAUGCCAUUAAUUUGGUGUUGCGGGGAAUUUGGACUGUUACUUUGAAAAAAUUAGAGUGUUUAAAGCAAGCUAACGCUUGAAUACAUUAGCAUGGAAUAAUGAAAUAGGACGUUCGAUCCUAUUUUGUUGGUUUCUAGGGUUGACGUAAUGAUUAAUAGGGAUAGUUGGGGG
rnacentral:rRNA from 1 species